rnacentral:rRNA from 1 species
AGCAGCCGCGGUAAUUCCAGCUCCAAUAGCGUAUAUUAAAGUUGUUGCAGUUAAAAAGCUCGUAGUUGAAUUUCGGGAUCAAUAUGUUGGUCGUGCCUUGGUACGUACUGGCGUCAUUGGUUUCUACCUUCUGAAGAACCUCGAUGCCAUUAAUUUGGUGUCUUGGGGAAUCAGGACUGUUACUUUGAAAAAAUUAGAGUGUUUAAAGCAGGCUCACGCUUGAAUACAUUAGCAUGGAAUAAUGAAAUAGGACGUUUGAUUCUAUUUUGUUGGUUUCUAGGAUCGACGUAAUGAUUAAUAGGGAUAGUUGGGGGCAUUAGUAUUCAAUUGUCAGAGGUGAAAUUCUUGGAUUUAUUGAAGACUAACUACUGCGAAAGCAUUUGCCAAGGAUGUUUUUCAUUAAUCAAGAACGAAAGUUAAGGGGAUCGAAGACGAUCAGAUACCGUCGUAGUCUUAACCAUAAACUAUGCCGACUAGGGAUCGGAUGAUGUAAUUUUUUAAUGACUCAUUCGGCGCCUUA